rnacentral:rRNA from 1 species
GACGAACGCUGGCGGCGUGCUUAACACAUGCAAGUCGAACGGAAAGGCCCUGCUUUUGUGGGGUGCUCGAGUGGCGAACGGGUGAGUAACACGUGAGUAACCUGCCCUUGACUUUGGGAUAACUUGAGGAAACUGGGGCUAAUACCGGAUAGGAGCUCCUGCUGCAUGGUGGGGGUUGGAAAGUUUCGGCGGUUGGGGAUGGACUCGCGGCUUAUCAGCUUGUUGGUGGGGUAGUGGCUUACCAAGGGUUUGACGGGUAGCCGGCCUGAGAGGGUGACCGGCCACAUUGGGCCUGAGAUACGGCCCAGACUCCUACGGGAGGCAGCAGUGGGGAAUAUUGCACAAUGGGCGGAAGCCUGAUGCAGCAACGCCGCGUGCGGGAUGACGGCCUUCGGGUUGUAAACCGCUUUCGCCUGUGACGAAGCGUGAGUGACGGUAAUGGGUAAAGAAGCACCGGCUAACUACGUG